CAAGACGGAAAGACCCCGUGAACCUUUACUAUAGCUUGACACUGAACAUUGAGCCUUGAUGUGUAGGAUAGGUGGGAGGCUUUGAAGCGUGGACGCCAGUCUGCGUGGAGCCGACCUUGAAAUACCACCCUUUAAUGUUUGAUGUUCUAACGUGGACCCGUAAUCCGGGUUGCGGACAGUGUCUGGUGGGUAGUUUGACUGGGGCGGUCUCCUCCUAAAGAGUAACGGAGGAGCACGAAGGUUGGCUAAUCCUGGUCGGACAUCAGGAGGUUAGUGCAAUGGCAUAAGCCAGCUUGACUGCGAGCGUGACGGCGCGAGCAGGUGCGAAAGCAGGUCAUAGUGAUCCGGUGGUUCUGAAUGGAAGGGCCAUCGCUCAACGGAUAAAAGGUACUCCGGGGAUAACAGGCUGAUACCGCCCAAGAGUUCAUAUCGACGGCGGUGUUUGGCACCUCGAUGUCGGCUCAUCACAUCCUGGGGCUGAAGUAGGUCCCAAGGGUAUGGCUGUUCGCCAUUUAAAGUGGUACGCGAGCUGGGUUUAGAACGUCGUGAGACAGUUCGGUCCCUAUCUGCCGUGGGCGCUGGAGAACUGAGGGGGGCUGCUCCUAGUACGAGAGGACCGGAGUGGACGCAUCACUGGUGUUCGGGUUGUCAUGCCAAUGGCACUGCCCGGUAGCUAAAUGCGGAAGAGAUAAGUGCUGAAAGCAUCUAAGCACGAAACUUGCCCCGAGAUGAGUUCUCCCUGAGACUUAGAGUCUCCUGAAGGAACGUUGAAGACGACGACGUUGAUAGGCCGGGUGUGUAAGCGCAGCGAUGCGUUGAGCUAACCGGUACUAAUGAACCGUGAGGCUUAACCUUACAACGCCGAAG
rnacentral:rRNA from 1 species